UCUUCUAGGGCCUUCUCCAUUGAGC
rnacentral:piRNA from 1 species